GACGAACCGAGCGAACGUUGUUCGGAAUCACUGGGCUUAAAGGGCGCGUAGGCGGGUGCUCAAGUCCGGGGUGAAAUCCCACAGCUCAACUGUGGAACUGCCUCGGAUACUGGGCGUCUCGAGGGUGGCAGGGGUAUGCGGAACUAUCGGUGGAGCGGUGAAAUGCGUUGAUAUCGAUAGGAACUCCGGUGGCGAAGGCGGCAUACUGGUCCACUUCUGACGCUGAGGCGCGGAAAGCCAGGGGGAGCAAAACGGG
rnacentral:rRNA from 1 species